ensembl:lncRNA
GGGGGUUUGCCAAAGUGCAAAAGAGGCCAUCUGAGAAAUGUUGUGCUUGGGUCAAUUUUUUAGCUCGUGGGUGCAGCGAAGAAACAGCUCGACCAGUUCUAAAUAUACCAUCCUUGACAGACGUGAAAUAAGUCCACUGAUUGAAAUAGCUGCCUAGUUCCCAGUUUGAGAUCUUACUGUAUAACAUCAGCGCUUGGCUGCCCCUCUGGUAAACUUGGAGAAGAACCGAUUUCCAUUUUGCUCCUUUUGAAAUGAAAGGCGUUUGAGGAUUGUCAUUCAGCAGGAAUGUACCAAUUCUAAGAACUUCUAAACAAGGCUCGCUUCAUAAUGAAUGGCAGCGGGAGCCUGGAUUUAUGAUCAUUUAAGCAAAUAUGGUAGGAAGGAAAGUAUCAAGGUUACCGACUGGAUUCCUGGAGCAGAUGAGUAGACCUUCAUGGCCAGACAACAGAGCAAGCUGACGAAGUCCAUGUAGCCAACUCUGCAGUCAAAACCAAAGUGCUGGGACUCAGAAGGUCUCGCUUGUUAAUUUGACUGUGUGUAAACAAAGAAAUGCUGUUGGCCCUAUUAAUCUCAGCGCAGGCCUGAGGGAUAAUGGCAGAUGACUCAUGGACCAGACACCAGUGACAACGCAUUACUCCGUGUCUGUUGGCCAAGUGCUACUGACUGAAAUCACUGGCUCUACCUCAAUUCACUGCAGCAAAGUGUCUGGUCUUGCUUGGAUUUGCUUGAGAAAUGACCUUUAUUUUUCUUAUCCACAUUCUCACCUUAUGCAGUCUCCAUGUGUGUGCCAAAGUCACCUCCCCUGCAAGGGUGGACAGAUUUAGAGAUGCUCAAAAUGGCACAGUGAGGGUGUGUGGUUUGCUCUCCUGCUUUUGCUUAACUGGCCAGCAAGUGAACUCGGAGUAAGCAGGUCAGCUCAGGAACAAAGAAGAAGGACCUGAAGAGAUCAAAAUAACAGUAAAUGUCACAAAAAUUAUUUUUCUUAACAUGUAAAAACAGCAAAUGCCCCAUUUUGUAACCUGGAAGAAGUGGACUUCAGGCUGUGUUCCUCCAGACACAAACAGGCAUCCUUUGGAGGUUCACAGACAUCUCUUAUCUCCAUAAAACUCCUAGAGAGCAUCCAGAGGAGGGCUAAGAAGAUGGUGAAGGUUCUGGAGGAUUCUUUCCAACUCAAGGUAUUCUGUGAUCCUAAAAGAGGGGCAGCAGCCAGCAAGGAUGGAAUCAUCACAAAGGGGAGAAAUUGCACUUAAUGGGAGGCAGCCAGGGUGCUUGGUGCACUUAUCACACUUGCCUGCAUCAUACUGCUUUCUCCUCUGCCUCUGCUUUUCCACAUGAGGACUCUGCUACGUGAAGGCCAAGGAGAUUUGCCAGUUGUGGCUAAAAUUUCUCCAUCACUGUUGCUCUGAGCUAAAAAUAAAUGAAUAAAUAAAUCAUCAGAAUCAGCGAGCACCCACCUGAUGCACUGCACUUCAGUAAAGUUGUCUGUGCUCUGAGCUGAGAUUCAGCCCACUCCUGUUUCUGCCUUUCAUGGGCCCUCUUCAUGGAUGACAACCUAGGCAUACUCCAGGCUCUUACUAGUUGGAUCCUUGUGCCCUGCUUAUCCUGCUCAUGCCAUGGGACCACAGCCAUACAGAAAUCCAACCUUUAAUGGAUGUUUUGAGAUGAUUCCUGCUGGAGGACAAAAGAUCAUCGAAGGUAUUCAUUUUGGCUUUUUCCCCACUAAUUGCUGUCCUGAACCCAAAGUGCCUCCAGCACAGAGGAGAGUGAUAGAAGCAGCAAGAAAAUGUAGUGUACAACCUGAAAGAAAUGGAAAAACAGAUCAGACUGUUCUUAAAAUUAAAAGACUGACCAAAAUAUCCCGAUGAGCCAUGAAAUCACUAAUGAGUCACAUCACA